GGAGACGUGGCCGAGUGGCUGAAGGCACCGGUUUGCUAAACCGGCAUAUGGGGUAACCCGUAUCGGAGGUUCGAAUCCUCUCGUCUCCGCCA
rnacentral:tRNA from 1 species